UGUCAUCUAUAAAAAUACCAGCACAACUUAUUUUUGAAUUGUGCAUAAAUGUCAUAAAAUGUUCCAUAAACACCUUAUUACUAGUGGGAACAUACUCAAGUCAUAAAAAUUGGCAAAAAAAUAAACAAAUACAAGCAAUGAUACAAAGGAUAGGAGUAGAGAGAACAAACAAAUCAUGAUUUUGAUUUUAAGUUUUUGAAGAAAAAAUCACAAAACAAAGAAAACGCAAAAUUGUUCUUUUCUAAAUUACAACACAAAAUUAGAAUUCUGAUUAGGAUAUAGUUUUAAAAAACAAUCUACCAAUCAAAUAUUUUUGUAGGUCCCACAAAUUUUAAGUUUUCAAAAUCAUAAAAUCAUUUCCAAAUCCCCAACCAAUCACACCCUUAUGUUUUAUUCAAUAAUUGUAGACAAUAUAAUUGUAGUAAAUAUAAAAUGUCAAAUAUAUUACUGUUGACGUCAUUUUUCGUCAACUUAAAUAGUAGAGUCAUUAAACAAUAAAUAUUGGAGCAAAUGAAUAAAGAGGAAAACAACAGAGUUUUUACGUAGUUCAGUAGUUAACUAUGCCUAGUCCACGAGUCUAUAUUAUUUAGACUUUAGAGUUUUCUAGAAACUUUUCAGAGAUAAAUUGUCCAGAGUGUUCUCUCAAGAAAUUAGAAAAAAUGGUCCUCCUCAAAUGGUGUUUCUUUCUCUAUUUAUAGGGAAGAUUGCAGAAUUCAUUCCCACAUAUUUCGGGAAUAUAUUAUGUAAAUCAAUUAACAUAAUGCCAUUAAAUGCAUUAUCUCCUACAUACACGGAAACGUCCCAUGAAGAUCAGGAACGGAUAACAGAUUAAAUGAUAUCCCUUAAAUAUUGAGAUUGUACAACAAUAAACAUGUUCACAUGUAAUGGAUUAUCCUAGAUGAUUAAUCAAAUCUUUGAGAUCAACAAUUGGCAUUGAGUCUGUCGAGACUAUGAGUCAAUCAUGAGCUCGCCACCCAACUUCGCGCUAUGCUCGGGACAAGUAAAUGCCGGCGAAGCUGCUACAUCCAAGCUUGUACUUCCCGAGCUCGAGCUAUCUCGCCUGAAGGCAAUCGGUAAAAAAUGUAUUUAAGUGUCAUGCUGUUGCGAGCUCAGAACAUAUUUGAGGCUACACACCAUCGAGCUUUCGAGGCCGGUAAUUACAGCAAAGCGGUUUGACUGAAGGAUCAUAUGACGACCAUGCAUAUUUCGAGCUCACACCUGACGAGCCCAGCUUUCGGGGUCAUAACUCCUUAUCUCGAAAUCUGGGUGUAACAUUUUACCCCCUCAAAAGUAUCAGUUCGAAUCCCAUGAGAAGGAAACUUUUGAACUGCCCUUCUUGGAAACUAUACCAUCAUUUGUACUCGAGUGUGGACACGCGUCAGGCGGGUAUUGGAAGAUCAGAGUACUUGAGUAUGUUUGCACCAUGCCCACGUCUCCUCAUCUGCCAUCUUUUUGCCGCCAUUGCCACGCCAAUACCUGUUUGUUCGAUCAGAUACCAAUCUCGUCCAACGGUCCAGAUCCAAUUUGUCGUUUGGCAUUCUGCUAUGGCCUAUAAAUUCUCCCAUCGUCUUCUUCAUUUCACUUUUACAUUUUUGAGUUUUCAAAGAGAAGGGAAGAACAAAAACCCAGAACCUGAAACCCGUUAUACUGUUGUAUGUUCUCCAAGCCAAGGAAACAAAGUACCGUCGGCCUGUUCGACUCUGUGAGAUCGUCUUUGCAACCUCUCCUUCGGUCAUCCAUUUCUCUGUUCCCACCAUCUACAUUGUGUAAGUGUCUAUUCUUGACCCCCAUAUGUUCGUGUAUAUACUUUGUCUUUCCAUGCAUGUUUAUGUUGUUGCAAUUAGGCACAUUUACUAGUUUUAUACCAGAAUGCUUCAAUCAAUACCGUGUAGUUUUUAGGCUCUUCUGUUAUUAUUAUUUUUCAAACCCACAUCUUUGCAUUUUAUUGGGUUAUCUUGAUUUCAACUAUCGUAUCGUGUAGACCAAGAAACUAGGUACAGGAUUAGGGUUUUUAAAUUGCACGUUUCUAAAAAAUAUCACUUUUUGAGUAACCGCCAACUUUUUCCCUGAAAAUUCGAGAUUCUAAAAAAUAAAUCCAAUUUUCCCCUUUAUGUGGAAUACACGCUCCGAGCCUAAUCUCACUCUUUUUACCGAGCUCGUUCCAUAGUCUCAAGCAUUCGAGCUCAGACCGUCUUGAUUUUUAUUCUUAAUCUCUUGUUCGUCUGGCCCUCACCUUUUUUCUUUCUUGCUAGAUGUCGCAGAAUUUGGAAAAGCGGUGGGGGUCAAAACUCACGAUUCCUUACUCACCGGCAACUCCGAGCCCGGAGUCACCUUUUACUCGAAAUUAGCACUUGAUUCGGGAGCAUGAACUAAGGCGUGAGCAAGAAGACACCCGAGCUCACUUUCGACGUCAAAUCGACGAGGUCGAAGAGAGAAAAAGGAAGAGACUUAGGGUCGCCAUCUACCCAGAUCCAGACCCCGAGCCUAGACCAAUCCCCAUCGAUCUUACUCUUAAAGGGAUGACCGCAUUCAAACCAGAUGAUCUCCAACUUUCACUGAUGGAAGAGCCAUCAAAUCCCCCGUCUACUUCGCAGCCAACCACUCUUCCCACCUCGAGGGGAGAAUUUUUCGAGGCCGAGCAUUAUUGGAGCUCGAAUUCUUCACUAAGGAAAAUCUCUGACAUCUUGGGCCUCCACGGAAUUGGAUUAUGGGGCUCGUUGAGGUGUCGAGCUCCAACCUCCCACAAGCGAAGUUGUCGCGCCCCGGGAGAUGGUAAUCUCGACAGUAAGUUAAAAUAUGCGGCUUGGAGCCAUGAACACAUGAGGGCAGGGGCCUUAUUACCCUUGAAGUCCUUUUUUAAGGACUUUUUGGAUUUCUUCGGGCUCGCUCCCUUCCAACUCAACACCAACUCAUACAGGGUUUUGUCAGCCCUGAGGUCGCUUUACCACGAGCUAAAGUGAGAAGGACCUUCACCAAAGGAGAUUUUGUAUCUCUUUUGCUUGAAAAGCAAUCCCUCCCGAGCUUGGGGAGGAGAUGGCCUCUAUUAUCUCUUGAGCUAUCCUCGUGAGAAUAAAAUCUUCGAGGACCUCCCGAACCAUCCUCCCAACUUCAAGGGGGCAUUCUUUUGGACGGAUGGCCUGGCUCCCUCCUGACAUUAUUUGUUCAGGCGAAUCCGUAAGUAUACGGUCUUUUUUUCUUUUUAUGUUUGAAUUAUUUCUUAGGCUCGAACCACUCAUAAUACAUUUAUUUCUUCAGCCAACUAUCAUCGUCCUACUCCCACUGGUGAGAAGAAGGAGCAUAAGGAGACUUUGCUUCAACUCCCUUAUGGCAGGCACUCCCUGUCUUAUUUUCUUCAUGAAGAUAAGCUUCGAGCUUGUGGUCUCUUAGAGAAGGAUCAAUCCACAAAUGACUGGUCCAACAAGAAAUACACCUAGUGGGAGUCUGUGCCUCUCCCAACCGGUAGCCUUCCUCCGAGGCGAAGCUCUAAGGCACGAUCCCCAGCUCGCCAUCGCAGGAAUCCGUGCUCGGGGAACGAGGCCAAUGACGAGGCUGCAAGCUCGAGUGACAAAGGUACAAUCAUCCUUAGCUUGGAUUUAUGGUCUCCUUCGCUUCUUAAGCACAAACCUGGCACCCUAAUCUUGUGCCUAGAUGAUAGGAACAUUUUUUAUGUAUGGUCCUGGGUAGAUGAGAGAGUCCAUAGGUUUGAUAUCUGGUUAGGGAAGUACGAUACUAUGUAUAGCCUGAAUGAGGUCUGGAAUGGAAUAACCGUCCAAUACAGGACGAAUGAUUAUAGGGACCUUUCGAGGUUGACUUUCACAUAUAGGCAAGGGACUCCCCCUGCCUCUUCCAAAGAUGGGGGAAUUACGUGGUCGCCGAGCACGAGCUUGAGGGAGAGUUCCAGCACUAUGGAUUCUGAUCUCGAGACCAUGCUCGCCAUGGGUGAGGGGGCUAAGAAGAGCAAGCGCCUGAGAUCCUCGUAGAAUUCUGAUCGACCUGCUAAGGUCUCUAAGAGGACCGAGAAGACUCCUCCUCCCCUAGCUCCCAUUGUUGCGAGCUCGUCCGCGGAUCCCACCUCCCAAGUCGAUGCGUCCACCACAGAUGCUCCUCCUCCGCCUCCUGCCGUCAAGAUUCUCCCCACGCUUGGCCUUCUUCCAAAGAAACCAGCGUCCAAAGGGCGUCUGUUGUCGAUUUCUACUCAUGUUGAUGAGUAUGUCUUCGACAAUGCUAUCGGGACCCAUGGGGCUACACUCGGCUCGGACAUCCUUUCUCGGGUAGGCAAGAGCAUUAGCAGCUUUGAGGCUCCCCAGUGGCAUUUCUUGAACAAUGCUCGGGACUGCACCACCCUUUAUGACAAGAGUGUCGAGCUCGCUGCUACAUCUCUUACUGCAUUUGCUCAGCUAAGUUAUAAGCUGAACAACGAGAUCCACUCGAGCAUGUCAUAUUCUCAAGAGGCGAAGGAUCUCCAGCUUAAGCUCGCAGACGAGUUUAAGGCUGAAAAAUCAAAACUGGAGGCUGAGGCUGAGGCUGAGUAGAUGAAGUCCAGGAUAACAGAGCUUGAUAAGCUGAAUGCCAGGCUAGAGGAGCUUGAGAAGAUCAAUGCCAAGCUUGAGGAGGAGAAAAAGGCCACCUUCGAGAUAAUGGAGGAGGAAAAAACUCAUCUCCUCGAAGAGUUCAAGGAGAGGAAAGACCAAGCAGUUGACCUGGCCAUGUACAGGAUCUGGGCCAGCAAUGUUGAUGUAAUGCCCCGAAAUCCCUAAUGCAGUUUAAUGGCCGAAUUAGUAGGCCGGGAGGGCCAUAACUGUUUAAUUAUGCCAUUAACUGAUAAUAUGCAUUUUAUGUGAAUUAUAUUAUAAUAUGAUGUUAUAUGCAUGCAUGUGGGUCCACAUUUGAUUAUUAGGAUGUUUUGGUAAUUUGGCCCGUUGAGGGCAUAUUUGUGUAUUUUGGGUGCAUAUUGUGAGUUAUGGAUGAGAUCCCAUUAUUAUGGAGAUAUAUUCGAGCUAUUCGGCAUGAGACGGUCUUAUAUUGUGAAUUAGCGGUUUUGUCAUAACAGGGUCAUUUAUUGAGAUAUUGAGUAAUGAGAAUGCUAUUUGAUGAUAAAUUGGAGGUUUUGAGAUCAGGAGGAAAUUCUGGAAGUUUUGACUAUAAUGUCCCCGGGGGUGUUUUCGAGACCCCGAGCACUAGGUUUUAUUUGAGGUUACCUAACCUUGAAGUAGCUUGUCAGAUAGAACCGUACGUUAGAAAAACACUUUCUCUCUUCCCGUUAGUUCAUUUUACCGUUCGAGGCAAUUUCGAAGAAAUCUCGAGUUCUAGGAAUCGGAAUCAAGCGAGGAUCGAGGCAUAACGAUCCUGGGAAAUAUUAGAAGCUUCUUGACUGAAGUAUUUAAUGAGAAACAACCCAAUCAAAGGUAAUCUAAGUUUUGAGUUUUAAAGUUUCUAAGCUUUGAAUUGGAUUUUGUGAAUCGUUGAGUUUUUGGUUCGUUUGAGCCUCGAGAUUUGAUGGUUUUGGAUCAUUGGGAAGUUUGGGAACUUUGAUUUUUGGAUUUGGAAGUGUUUAGGUAUGUUUUUGGAAGGUUUGGGAUGAGGGAAAUCGAGUUCUUGGCUGGUUCUGGGUGGGGGGUCGCGACCCUAUUCUUGGGCGCCGCGACCUAAGCUCGAAGAAGCAGCUGGAGGUUUUUGGGUGUGCUGGGCGUCGCAGCCCUGGGUAAGGGGCGCCGUGGCUCAAGGUGCUAGGGCUGCGGCUCAGGCAGGGAUUUGAGGCCGUUUGAAUGUUUUGACCUCGAGAACUUGGUUUUAGGCCUCAAGAUUGUUCCUACUACCUGGAUUAGUAGGGGUUGAUGUCCCGGAGGUUAAAUCUUGGUUCGGGAACCUUUGUUAUUCAUUUUAUUGGUGGUGUCCUAUAUUUGGUUAUGACUAGGUAACCGCUAAAGGACUAAAAGUCAGAUCGUUCUCAAGGGUCGUUCUUUUAUUCAUUCUCGCUCGAAUCAGAGGUAAGAAAACUGCACCCCAUAUGUGACAUGCAUGGUUAUUCAUAAGGCAUGUUGAAUGUUUAAAUAUGGACAUGGAUUGUUUAUUGAAUGCUUAUCAAAUCUUGCUCACUUGUGCAUGGUACUGACUGAAUAGUCAGAAUUGGCAAAGGUGUCAGUAUCAACUAUGAAGCUGUGACUCAUUACUCAAGUUCGGCAGUGGUACUAGGCACUGGUCAUAUAGUGCUGACUCAUAAGUCAGGAAUGGCCAUAGCGUGUUCAACGCAAGCCAAUAAAGAUUAGAUCUAAUCGACAUCUGCAUUAAAUGACUCAGAAGAGCAUUAAUGCCUAACCGACCUCAAGUUCGAUGAAUACUAUAAGUGCUUGUCUAGCCAAAGGCUAGUUACUUAGAGCCACAGUGACUAUUUAGUCACAUGGCUGUGGGUGCUGAGCCCUGUGUGACUUACCUAGCAGUCACUCAUCUAUUUAAGCUAGUGACUUACCCAGCAGUCACUCAUCUGUUUAAGCUAGAGACUUACCUAGCAGUCACUCAUCUGUUUAAGUUAGUGACUUGCUUGUCAGUCACUCAUUAUGGUUUACCAGAAUCUCAAGUGAUAUUCACUCAUCUAUUCAGAGCUAUAAGCUCUGUGUGAUUAUAAUAAUACUCAUUUGUUAAUAUUUAUAUGCAUUACUGUGUUUUCUUGCUGUGCUUUGGCUCAUGGGUGCUA